CAGUAGGUCCGUGAACGGCUCAUUAAAUCAGCGAUUAUCUACCCAGUUCUGCGGGGCUUGCCCCGUCAGACGGAUACCGACAUUAACUAUGUCGCUAAUACGUGUAAGAAAACUGCUCUCUCAUCCAACACACUGCCCACUGAUAUCAUAUGCUUCUUCUGGCUCUCCUAGUGUUCAUUACGUGUUUCUCCUUCUGGCUCUCUUUAUAUGCGGUCCUCUCUGUGUGUUUGGUAUCAAUAGCUGGUUCCUUCUGCUUACCUUCUGGGUUGGUGGUUGGGCUUGGUUGUUGGUACUGGAUAUGCGGGGUUGAUUUGCAUUGAAGAGUUGGUCGGUUUGGGAUAUCAUGUGUGGAUACAUUCAAUGGGAUUGUUCAGUAAGAACGUGUGUGUAUUUGCGGGGUGGUGUGGAGGGAGCAGUCAGUUGACCGAUAGCAAAACCAACGCCACCAGUUCCAACCAAGCUUCGGCGAGGAGGACUGGUUACAAUGGCAGUGAAACGUGCUUUCUACGCACUCUAACGAUGAACCAGGUCAACCACGAUAAAGCGCAUCAGGCCCCUGUGCCUGGCGCGGAACUGGACGAAUUUCUGCCUUAUCAGCUAUGAUGACAGUGCAGUGAACUGUCAUGGCAAUCACGAGUACGGGGAAUUAGGGUUCGACUCCGGAGAGGGCGCCUGAGAAACGGCGACCAGAUCUAAGGAUUGCAGCAGGCACGCAAAUUGCCCAAUGGCAGUACGUUGUUGAGGCAGUGACGAGAAAUAACAACACCGGCAGAUUACAUAUCGGCCGGUGAUUGUAAUGGACGGUACCCAAAGCCACUGAUGAGUACCCACUGGAGGACAAGUCUGGUGCCAGCACCCGCGGUAAUUCCAGCUCCAGUAGCAUACACUAAUGUUGUUGCGGUUAAAAAGCUCGUAGUUGGAUUCGGAGCUGUGGAUUGCAGGUUUGGUUGCACGCGGAUCUCCGCAAGGAGUUCUGUCGCGCAACCUCCUGCACUCGAUCCUGGGUCUACACACACGGGACCGGUUGCCCCGUCCGCUGCUAGGCCUUCGGGUCUACAGUAGACAUCUUAACGGGCCGUCCGUGGGUGUUACUGUGAACAAAACAGCGUGUUCAAAACAAGCGGGGCUUGCCUCUUGCUUGAAUGAUCUAGCAUGGAAUAACAGGGGAGUGACCUCUUGGUUGCCUCUUCCGUUUGUUGGUUUUGACAGCCGAACAGGGUAACGUAAGACCGGCGUGCCGUGCGGUUGGAUUAGGUGUAUGAGUGUAUUGGAUUGUAUAUCUUCUGUCUCCUCCGUAUCUCUUUAUUUGGGUUCUGGUAUCCCGUGUUGUGGUUCUGUUGUGUGUGCGGCUUGCGACUGUGUAUAUCCAAAUUGCAUUCGGAUUGAGUGUGUGGGGUGUUGUUGUUCAAUGUGUUCUUCUCUGGAAAGGGAUGAAUGUGUUGUGCAGCAGUGCUUUACAUAUGAGGUCCUUUUGUAAGAUGGUGUCCACAUGUUUGUGAGACGUACGUUAUACAUUGCAGAUCAAUGACAUUGGAGAAAGGAUCUGUUUACAAUGAAGGGAAUAUGGUGUUGUGCAGUUGUAUAUGAGACGAUAUUACGAGUCGCUUACAUUCCAGCCGUGCGGCCCCUGUCUCCAUCCAGGAUAAAUCGGGGCACACGGUGAGAUACGUAUUGUGGCGCUAGUGGUGAAAUACUUAGACCGUCACAAGACGAACAUCUGCGAAAGCAUUUCUCAAGCAUGCCUUCUUCAAUCAAGAGCGAUAGCAUGGGGAUCUAAGAUGAUCAGAUACCGUUGUAGUCCAUGCUGUAAACGCUGCCAGCGAGGCUUCGGACGUCAGAUCUGGCAUCCCGACUCGUCCGGCGCCUUCCCCCAUAACGAGAAAUCCGAGCCUGGGUUCCGGGGGGAGUACGUCCGCAAGGCCGAAACUUAAAGGAAUUGACGGAAUGGCACCACAAGGCGUGGAGUGUGCGGCUUAAUUUGACUCAACACGGGAAACCUCGCCAGGUCCGGACUCACUGAGGAUUGACAGAUUGAGAGCUCUUUCUUGAUCGUGAGGGUGGUGGUGCAUGGCCGUGCUGGGUUGGUGGAGUGAUUUGUCUGCUUAAUUGCGAUAACGAACGAGAUCACAACCUCUCACUCGGGCUCUGCUUCGCACUUAUGUAGGGGUGGUCCUGUUGUUCGCUUUCCGAUUCGUCGGGGGAGGGCACUGGUCCAAUUUUACGCCCCGAGAGGCAGGGACUCCAAGCCUUAGAGGGACUGGCGGUGCCCCCUCAACCCCCGGAAGAAUGUGCCUUUCACAGGUCUGUGAUGCUCCGCAAUGUUCUGGACUGCACGCGCACUACACUGGCAUGGUCAACGAGCGACCGACCGCAUUCUUGCGGUUCCUAAUUGGAAGCGAUUUGGAAAUCUUAGCAAACCGUGUCGUGAUCGGGGAUAGGUGAUUGCAAUUAUUCGUCCUGAACGAGGAAUGCCCAGUAAGGGUGAGUCAUCAGCUCACCCUGAUUGCGUCCCUGGCAUUUGUACACACCGCCCGUCGUUGUCAUCGACUGGCUGGAUAACAGAGGUCUUGGGAGACUACGGUUAGAAGUUCGCUUCUCUCCGUCCCGCAAGGGG
rnacentral:rRNA from 1 species